rnacentral:rRNA from 1 species
UUCCGGUUGAUCCCGCCGGACCCCACUGCUAUCGAGAUGGGACUAAGGUAUGCUAGCCGAACGACCAGAACUAUGUCUGGGAGUGGCACACUGCUCAGUAACACGUAGCUAACCUACCCUUAGGACGUGGAUACCCCCGAGAAAUUGGGGUUAAUCCGCGAUAGAUGUAAUGUCCUGGAAUGGUAUUACGUCUAAAGGUAUUUCAUACAUGUUUGAAAUAUGCCUAAGGAUGGGGCUGCGGCCGAUCAGGCUGUUGGUGAGGUAAUGGCUCACCAAACCUUUGACCGGUACGGGCCAUGAGAGUGGUAGCCCGGAGAUGGACACUGAGACAAGGGUCCAGGCCCUAAGGGGCGCAGCAACCGCGAAACCUCCACAAUGCACUCACGCGCGAUGGGGCUAUCUCGAGUGCCACCUGAUGAAGGUGGCUUUUCCUUGGUCUUCAAAGCCUUGGGAAUAAGAGGGGGGCAAGACUGGUGUCAGCCGCCGCGGUAACACCAGCCCCUCGAGUGGUGGGGAUGAUUAUUUGGCCUAAAGCGUCCGUAGCCGGCCGUGAAAGUCUUCCGUUAAAUCCAGCGUCUCAAGCGUUGGACCGCGGGAGAUACUACAUGGCUAGAGAGUGGGAGAGGUCAGCGGUAUUCUGGGGGUAGGGGCGAAAUCCUUUGAUCCCCGGAGGACCACCAGUGGCGAAGGCUGCUGACUAGAACACGUCUGACGGUCAGGGACGAAAGCUGGGGUAGCGAACCGGAUUAGAUACCCGGGUAGUCCCAGCCGUAAACGAUGCAUGCUAGGUGUUGGGUUGGCCACG